rnacentral:rRNA from 1 species
UGGGGAAUAUUGGACAAUGGGCGCAAGCCUGAUCCAGCAAUGCCGCGUGUGUGAAGAAGGCCUUCGGGUUGUAAAGCACUUUUAUCAGGAGCGAAACGCUGUCGGCUAAUACCCGGCGGAACUGACGGUACCUGAGGAAUAAGCACCGGCUAACUUCGUGCCAGCAGCCGCGGUAAUACGAAGGGUGCAAGCGUUAAUCGGAAUUACUGGGCGUAAAGCGUGCGUAGGCGGUUUCUUAAGUCUGCUGUGAAAUCCCCGGGCUCAACCUGGGAAUGGCAGUGGAUACUGGGAGGCUAGAGUGUGUCAGAGGGUGGUGGAAUUCCCGGUGUAGCGGUGAAAUGCGUAGAGAUCGGGAGGAACAUCAGUGGCGAAGGCGGCCACCUGGGACAACACUGACGCUGAGGCACGAAAGCGUGGGGAGCAAAGCAGGAUUAGAUACCCUGGUAGUCCACGCCCUAAAAGCGAUGCGAACUGGAUGUUGGUCUCAACUCGGAGAUCAGUGUCGAAGCUAACGCGUUAAGUUC